rnacentral:ncRNA from 2 species
UUCCUACGGACGGGUAGAGUGGCCGGGUCGUCAUCACACCCGUACGGGGGGAAGCCGGUGCAAAUCCGGCGCUGACCCGCAGCCGUGUGCCGGACCGAGAGGGUCCCGGCGAGCCGGAAUGCCCCACGCGGAACGUGAACCGGC